AUUGCCCUAGUAACGGCGAGUGAAGCGGCAACAGCUCAAAUUUGAAAUCUGGCUCUUUUAGAGUCCGAGUUGUAAUUUGCAGAGGGCGCUUUGGCUUUGGCAGCGGUCCAAGUUCCUUGGAACAGGACGUCACAGAGGGUGAGAAUCCCGUACGUGGUCGCUGGCUAUUGCCGUGUAAAGCCCCUUCGACGAGUCGAGUUGUUUGGGAAUGCAGCUCUAAAUGGGAGGUACAUUUCUUCUAAAGCUAAAUAUUGGCCAGAGACCGAUAGCGCACAAGUAGAGUGAUCGAAAGAUGAAAAGCACUUUGGAAAGAGAGUCAAACAGCACGUGAAAUUGUUGAAAGGGAAGCGCUUGCAGCCAGACUUGCUUGCAGUUGCUCAUCCGGGCUUUUGCCCGGUGCACUCUUCUGUAGGCAGGCCAGCAUCAGUUUGGGCGGUGGGAUAAAGGUCUCUGUCACGUACCUCUCUUCGGGGAGGCCUUAUAGGGGAGACGACAUACCACCAGCCUGGACUGAGGUCCGCGCAUCUGCUAGGAUGCUGGCGUAAUGGCUGUAAGCGGCCCGUCUUGAAACACGGACCAAGGAGUCUAACAUCUAUGCGAGUGUUUGGGUGUCAAGCCCGAGCGCGUAAUGAAAGUGAACGGAGGUGGGAACCCGCAAGGGUGCACCAUCGACCGAUCCUGAUGUCUUCGGAAGGAUUUGAGUAAGAGCAUGGCUGUUGGGACCCGAAAGAUGGUGAACUAUGCUUGAAUAGGGUGAAGCCAGAGGAAACUCUGGUGGAGGCUCGCAGCGGUUCUGACGUGCAAAUCGAUCGUCAAAUUUGGGCAUAGGGGCGAAAGACUAAUCGAACUAUCUAGUAGCUGGGUCCUGC
rnacentral:rRNA from 1 species